rnacentral:misc_RNA from 1 species
CCUGUUCGAGCGUCAUUACACCACUCAAGCAUCGCUUGGUAUUGGGCACCGCGGGAGACCGCGCGCCUCGAAUGACCCGGCGGGGCACUCUGGAUCCCAAGCGUAGCAGCAAAGUUCGCUUGCGGGUGUGGGUGCCCCCGCCGUUAAACCUUACAUAUCAGGUUGACCUCGGAUCAGGUAGGGAUACCCGCUGAACUUAA